GGGGUGACUAGUGGCAGAGUGAGGGAAGGGGUGACUAGUGGCAGAGUGAGGGAAGGAAGGGGUGACUAGUGACAGAGUGAGGGAGGUGGUGACUGUCACUAGUCACCACCUCCCUCACUCUGUCACUAGUCACCACCUCCCUCUGUCACUACUCCCUCCCUCCUUCUGUCACUAGUCACGCCCUCCCUCACUCUGUCACCAGUCAUCCCCUUCCCUCACUCUGUCACCAGUCAUCCCC